rnacentral:rRNA from 1 species
CGGGGUGCAGCAGGCGCGAAACCUCUGCAAUAGGCGAAAGCCUGACAGGGUUACUCUGAGUGAUUUCCGUUAAGGAGAUCUUUUGGCACCUCUAAAAAUGGUGCAGAAUAAGGGGUGGGCAAGUCUGGUGUCAGCCGCCGCGGUAAUACCAGCACCCCGAGUGGUCGGGACGUUUAUUGGGCCUAAAGCAUCCGUAGCCGGUUCUACAAGUCUUCCGUUAAAUCCACCUGCUUAACAGAUGGGCUGCGGAAGAUACUAUAGAGCUAGGAGGCGGGAGAGGCAAGCGGUACUCGAUGGGUAGGGGUAAAAUCCGUUGAUCCAUUGAAGACCACCAGUGGCGAAGGCGACUUGCCAGAACGCGCUCGACGGUGAGGGAUGAAAGCUGGGGGAGCAAACCGGAUUAGAUACCCGGGUAGUCCCAGCUGUAAACGAUGCAGACUCGGUGAUGAGUUGGCUUUAUGCCAACUCAGUGCCGCAGGGAAGCCGUUAAGUUUGCCGCCUGGGGAGUACGGUCGCAAGACUGAAACUUAAAGGAAUUGGCGGGGGAGCACAAGGGCGAUUCGCG